AAAAAAUAGAGAAAAAUAAUAAACUCGUAAAUAAUUUGUCAGUCAUUUUGUUAGAGAGAGAUACUAUAUUCUCCAUUAACCUAUUACUUCUAAAGGGUUUUGAAUAGUGAUUUAAAGAUCGUGCUCAUUCUUAAUUAAUUCGAUUUACCGCGGGUUUGAAGUGUUAGAAGAUCUUCAUGGGCGACCUGAAAACACGUGAAUCAAUCUUUAGAAUUCAGAAGACUUUCAUAGACGAUCUAAGGACACGUGAAUCAAUCUCUACUAUUCAGACUCAUCGCGUUCUAGCACGAGUUGCUUCCGCAAAAGUUCGAACGAAUAUUUCCGUUGUAUUCUAUAAAUUGAUUGUUGGAGACCAAAAUAGAUAAAAUUAUAUGUUUGUGAAGAAAUAAAAUGU
rnacentral:lncRNA from 1 species